GAUCUCCAGAUAACUUGACCGGGCCAGUCACAUAGUGAAUGAAAUCAUUUUGGGCCCUUCCCCCAUCAGACACUUUUCCAGGAAAUAGCUUUUUGCUGCCAUGACCUCUUUUGCUGCUGUUUGAUAUCCUUGAUAUGAAAAAUGUGAAUGGAGACGAGCACCCCAUUAACCAGCAGCUCUUAGGCAGCAUUGCUUGUUGGAGGUAUCUUUUCACAGAGAUGCCAUUUGGAGUAGCUACUUUGAGGACAAGAGACAAAAAGCCUGAGGAGAAAGUCACCAUGAAGGAAACAGAAAGAUUAAACAGCAUGCGUGAUCUUUGAUUCAGAGUCCCCAUCUCACCCUGGACUGCCUUCCUUUGGAAUUCCCUUGUGGAAAAAAAAAUUAAACUCUUAUUUGGUUAAA